rnacentral:rRNA from 1 species
UACGAAGGGGGCGAGCGUUGCUCGGAAUCACUGGGCGUAAAGGGUGCGUAGGCGGGUUUUUAAGUCAGGGGUGAAAUCCUGGAGCUCAACUCCAGAACUGCCUUUGAUACUGAAGAUCUUGAGUCCGGGAGAGGUGAGUGGAACUGCGAGUGUAGAGGUGAAAUUCGUAGAUAUUCGCAAGAACACCAGUGGCGAAGGCGGCUCACUGGCCCGGUACUGACGCUGAGGCACGAAAGCGUGGGGAGCAAACAGG